UUGACCUCGGAUCAGGUAGGAAUACCCGCUGAACUUAAGCAUAUCAAUAAGCGGAGGAAAAGAAACCAACAGGGAUUGCCCUAGUAACGGCGAGUGAAGCGGCAACAGCUCAAAUUUGAAAUCUGGCUCUCGGGCCCGAGUUGUAAUUUGUAGAGGAUACUUUUGAUGCGGUGCCUUCCGAGUUCCCUGGAACGGGACGCCAUAGAGGGUGAGAGCCCCGUCUGGUUGGAGCCAAU
rnacentral:rRNA from 1 species